CAGACAUUGGUCUCUCUAACACUGUGGCAUGUCCCCUUUCUUCUACACUCACUACAGACACCUUUUCUCUGUCUCAGACUAUAUACCAGGAACUUUUGCCUGCUAGUAAGAAGGUAAGGAGACAAGUGGACCAGUGAGUGCUAGGGGACAGUCCUUAGAAAGAAUGGAGUGAGCGCAUCAUUAGAUGCAUUUAUGUCAAGCUCAAGGUGCUGCCUGCAUAGUAUGCCCUUAGUUGGACAGCCUGCAGGAUUGGCAGGCAGCCUGACAUGCAUUCAUGCCAGGCUGACCUUCCAAUUCUUUGGACAAACAUGCCCCCUUUUGGGCAUGUUCACCCCUUUUGGCAGGUCUUGUCACGUGAUUCGCGCCAGUGGCACACCCUUUUACCCCGCCCAUUGACUUCCUGCUUCACUGGACACUGCUGUUAGGGGUUAUGGAUUUACUUCAGAGAUGAAAGCAUAAAUUAGAGAGAGAUUAGCAUAGAG